GGAGAGAUGGCUCAGUGGUUGGGCACUGGCUCCUCUUCCAGAGGACCUGGGUUCAAUUCUCAGCAUCCUCA
rnacentral:tRNA from 1 species